ensembl:lncRNA CCDC144BP coiled-coil domain containing 144B, pseudogene
AACGGAUUGGCUUGGCCUUACCCGCGAGGCUUUGCGGUGGCUGCUUGGCUUGGCGGUGGUCGCUUGGCUUGGCGUGGCAGUGAUCGCUUGGCUUGGCAUUUCUGGCUUGGCGGUCCUCCUUUCGCAGAUUGGAAACCGCGGGCUAUCCUGCUGGGAGGUUGUGGCCGAGGCAGUAGCUCGCUACUGAUGGCCUCCUGGGGUGGAGAAAAGCGGGGAGGGGCUGAGGGGUCUCCGAAGCUGGCAGUCUACGCCACGAGGAAGACCCGUAGCGUCAGGAGCCAGGAGGACCAGUGGUACUUGGGCUACCCGGGGGACCAGUGGUCUUCGGGCUUCUCCUACAGCUGGUGGAAAAAUAGCGUCGGCAGCGAGAGCAAGCACGGUGAGGGCGCCUUAGACCAGCCCCAGCACGACGUCCGCCUGGAAGAUCUUGGCGAGCUCCACAGAGCUGCCCGGUCGGGCGACGUCCCUGGGGUGGAGCACGUCUUGGCUCCUGGAGACACUGGCGUGGACAAGAGGGAUAGGAAGAAGAGCAUUCAGCAACUAGUUCCUGAAUAUAAGGAAAAACAGACACCUGAAAGUCUUCCUCAAAAUAACAAUCCAGAUUGGCAUCCUACUAAUUUGACCCUUAGUGAUGAGACUUGUCAGAGAUCCAAGAAUCUGAAAGUUGGUGAUAAAAGUCCAUCUGUAUCACCAUCAAUGCCUGAAAAUCAGUCAGCAACCAAAGAACUGGGACAGAUGAACUUAACAGAACGAGAAAAAAUGGACACUGGAGUUGUACUUCUCUCAGGGAAUGAUACUCUCCAUGACCUGUGCCAAUCACAGCUACCAGAAAACAAAGAGAGCAAAGAAGCAGAACAAGACUUGGAGCUGACAUCAGAGGAAGAGCAAGAAAGACUUAAAGGAUGCGAAAAUAAGCAGCCACAGAAAACGUCUCAAGAACCAGAAAUGGCUAAGGAUUGUGAUAGAGAGGAUAUACCUAUAUAUCCAGUACUUCCUCAUGUGCAAAAAUCUGAGGAAAUGUGGAUUGAACAAGGCAAAUUAGAGUGGAAAAACCAAUUAAAACUCGUCAUAAAUGAGUUAAAGCAGAGGUUUGGUGAAAUUUAUGAAAAAUACAAAAUUCCGGCUUGUCCUGAGGAAGAGCCACUACUUGAUAACUCUACAAGAGGAACAGAUGUGAAGGAUAUUCCCUUUAAUUUGACAAAUAACAUACCUGGUUGUGAGGAAGAAGAUGCAUCUGAAAUAUCUGUCUCAGUGGUAUUCGAGACAUUUCCUGAACAAAAAGAACCCAGUCUCAAAAAUAUCAUCCAUCCAUACUAUCAUCCGUACUCUGGGUCCCAGGAACAUGUUUGCCAGUCAUCUUCUAAGCUUCAUUUACAUGAAAAUAAAUUAGACUGCGACAAUGAUAACAAACUAGGCAUUGGACAUAUUUUUAGUACAGAUAACAACUUUCAUAAUGAUGCAAGCACUAAGAAAGCAAGGAACCCAGAAGUGGUUACGGUUGAAAUGAAAGAAGACCAAGAGUUUGAUUUGCAAAUGACAAAAAAUAUGAACCAAAAUAGUGACAGUGGCAGUACAAAUAACUAUAAAAGCCUGAAACCUAAAUUAGAAAAUCUGAGUUCUUUACCACCAGAUUCUGACAGAACAUCAGAAGUAUAUCUACAUGAAGAAUUACAGCAAGACAUGCAAAAGUUUAAGAAUGAGGUCAACACAUUAGAAGAAGAGUUCCUGGCUUUGAAGAAAGAAAAUGUUCAACUUCAUAAAGAGGUUGAAGAAGAAAUGGAGAAGCACAGAAGUAAUAGCACAGAAUUAUCAGGAACCCUAACUGAUGGUACUACUGUUGGCAAUGAUGAUGAUGGACUAAAUCAGCAGAUUCCUAGGAAGGAAAAUGAAGAGCAUGACAGGCCUGCAGAUAAAACAGCUAAUGAAAAGAACAAGGUCAAAAACCAAAUAUAUCCUGAGGCUGACUUUGCUGACUCAAUGGAGCCAUCUGAAAUAGCCUCAGAGGAUUGUGAAUUGUCUCACUCUGUUUAUGAGAAUUUUAUGUUGCUGAUUGAACAACUUAGAAUGGAGUAUAAAGACUUGCCUUAAAACAAGAAAAUGGGAGAAAAGAAAUGCCGAUAUGUUGUAUAAUAAAGAUAGUGAACAGUUAAGAAUAAAAGAAGAGGAGUGUGGGAAAGUGGUUGAAACAAAGCAACAACUUAAAUGGAAUCUGAGAAGACUUGUUAAGGAAUUGAGGACAGUAAGAAAUAACUUGGAUCUGGUUGUGCAGGAGAGAAACGAUGCCCAGAAGCAACUUUCUGAAGAACAGGAUGCCAGAAUAUUACAAGAUCAGAUUCUGACAAGUAAACAAAAGGAACUAGAAAUGGCUCAAAAGAAAAUGAAUUCUGAGAUUUCUCAUAGGCAUCAGAAAGAAAAGCAUCUCUUUCAUGAAAAUUGCAUGUUGCAGGAAGAAAUUGCCUUGCUGAGACUGGAAAUAGAUACAAUAAAAAAUCAGAACAAGCAAAA